AUGCCUUCAUGGUGGUUGCUGCUGCAUUGCCUGGCCGCUGUUCUUACCAUGGAUGUUGAGGGGCGACAUGAUAGGUACGCCUGCCCUCAUUUUUCUUGCGGCCAUCUCCAGGACGUCCACUACCCUUUCCGCCUGCGAGGCGAUCCAACUGAGUGCGGUUCUCCGUCAUACGAGCUGGUUUGCGCCGGCGACCGGGCUACAAUUCAGAUCAACACAGGGACAUACUUGGUCACCGAGAUCGACUACGAACUUUCAUACUUCCGGGUCGUGGAUGCCAACCUGGACAUGAGCAGCAGCUGCCCUCUUCCUCGCUGGGACCAGCGCCCUUACCUAAAUGGUCUCCAGAGGCCCAACGGCUUCAUCGAUUUGCUCCCCCCCGCGGUUACAUGGGCAAACUUUGUGAAUUGUUCACGGGCGAUCACGAACAGCAGUGACUACAAACCGGUGGCUUGCCUGAGCACCAGCACUUCUUUCGUCUAUGUGUUGGUCAACUCUUAUUAUGUCGAGAAGCUUAAGCCUUCUUGCGGGUACUUGGCCAUGGCUGCUUUGGGUGAUCGGAGCAUGCGGUAUGAUAACGCAAGCCACGGAACUUUGGUACGAUCCCUCAGAGGAGGGUUUCGUGUUUUGUUUCCUUUAUACGACACGACGCCUGGGAGCUUCACGGGCUGCCUAAAGGAUCUGAGUGUCUCAUACCCUGGAGACUCGGUGGCUUCUCUUCUCGUGCGAUGGCUUGUGUUCAUUCUUACGGUUGAUUCUCAAAUCCUGUAUUGUGCAUUUGGAGCAGAUAAUUUGCGUUCCACUCAGCACCUUCACUCACUACGCUCUGCGAUAGUAUUCUCCCCGUUAAUAUUGAAGUUCGUUGCUGGAGUAUGCAGGUUAGUGGUUGCUCCCCUAGUGGUACUGUUCUUCCUGGCACACAAGUAUUGGAAAACAAGGAUCACAAUCGAUGCAGUCGAGAAGUUCCUACAAAUGCAGCAAAUGAUCGGCCCGACAAGGUAUGCCUACACAGAUAUUGUCGCGGUCACAGGCCAUUUCAGAGACAAGCUGGGUCAGGGAGGCUAUGGCUCCGUCUACAAGGGCAUUCUGCUCCCAGGCGAUGUCCAUGUGGCCAUCAAGAUGUUGGACGGCAAAUCCUGCUGCGAUGGAGAAGAUUUCAUCAGUGAGGUCUCCACCAUCGGCAGGAUCCACAAUGUCAAUGUGGUCCGUCUGGUCGGGUUCUGCUCGGAGGAAAUGAGGAGGGCGCUAGUCUACGAGUAUAUGCCCCAUGGUUCUCUUGAUAAGUACAUCUUCUCUGCGGAGAAGAGUUUCUCCUGGGACAAGCUCAGUGAGAUUGCCUUGGGCAUUGCUAGGGGGAUCAACUACCUGCAUCAAGGAUGCGACAUGCAGAUUCUACACUUUGACAUCAAGCCGCACAACAUCCUUCUUGACACCAAUUUUGUCCCAAAAGUUGCCGAUUUUGGCCUUGCCAAGCUAUACCCAAGGGACAACAGUUUUGUGCCCAUGAGCGCCCUACGGGGAACAAUCGGAUACAUAGCUCCUGAGAUGAUAUCCCGGAGCUUUGGCGUCAUAUCCAGCAAGUCCGAUGUUUACAGCUUUGGGAUGCUGCUGCUGGAGAUGGCUGGAGGACGCAGGAACGCAGACCCGAACGCGGCAAACUCAAGCCAGGCAUUCUACCCAUCGUGGGUGUAUGACCGGCUAACUAAACAUGAACCGGGUGAGAUAUCUGCUGAGAUGCAUGAAUUGGAGAGGAAGCUGUGCCUUGUUGGUCUGUGUUGCAUCCAGAUGAAGUCUCACGAUCGGCCAGAGAUGAGCGAAGUCAUAGAGAUGCUCGAGGGGAGCGUUGACAGCGUGCCGGUGCCUUCAAGGCCAUUCUUCUGUGAUGAUGAGCACAGCUCUGUAGUGGAGCCUUACCAUUUCCUCUCUGAGCUGACUACCAUUUCGGAGGAGGGUGAGUGA
rnacentral:rRNA from 1 species